rnacentral:rRNA from 1 species
GACGAACGCUGGCGGCGUGCUUAACACAUGCAAGUCGUACGGUAAGGCCCUUUCGGGGGUACACGAGUGGCGAACGGGUGAGUAACACGCGAGUAACCUGCCCACAACUUUGGGAUAACGAUAGGCAACUGGCGCUAAUACUGGAUAUGUGCUCCUGCUGCAUGGAGGGGGUUGGGAAGCUCCGGCGGUUGGGGAGGGACGCGCGGCCUAUCAGCCUGGUGGUUGGGUAGUGGCCUACCAAGGCGGCGACCGGUGGCCGGCCGGGGAGGGUGACCGGCCACCUUUGGACCGGGAUCCGGCCCAGGCUCCCACGGGGGGCAGCAGUGGGGAAUAUUUCACAAUGGGCGGAAGCCCGAUGCAGCCACGCCGCGUGCGGGAUGGCGGCCUUCGGGUUGUAAACCGCUUUCAGCCGGGACGGAGCCGUUUGUGACGGUACCUGCAGAAGAAGCACCGGCUAACUACGUG